GAUGAACGCUGGCGGCGUGCUUAACACAUGCAAGUCGAACGGAAAGGCUCCUGCUUGCAGGGGUACUCGAGUGGCGAACGGGUGAGUAACACGUGGGUGAUCUGCCCUGCACUUCGGGGUAAGCCUGGGAAACUGGGUCUAAUACCGGAUAGAACGAUGGUUUGGAUGCCAUUGUGGAAAGUUUUUUCGGUGUGGGAUGAGCUCGCGGCCUAUCAGCUUGUUGGUGGGGUAAUGGCCUACCAAGGCGUCGACGGGUAGCCGGCCUGAGAGGGUGUACGGCCACAUUGGGACUGAGAUACGGCCCAGACUCCUACGGGAGGCAGCAGUGGGGAAUAUUGCACAAUGGGCGCAAGCCUGAUGCAGCGACGCCGCGUGGGGGAUGACGGCCUUCGGGUUGUAAACUCCUUUCGCUAGGGACGAAGCGCAAGUGACGGUACCUGGAGAAGAAGCACCGGCUAACUACGUG
rnacentral:rRNA from 1 species